rnacentral:lncRNA from 1 species
CUUGAAUUUAUAUUAUAAACAACACAAGUUAACAGUUUUAACAGUGUUAUCAUGAUACGUGAUAUGUCUGUCAUUUUUCGGAUUUUUGAUCGAAAGUAAACCGUUUCAGUAUUUGUUUUAUUUUUUUUUUCGUGUGGCCGUCCGUCUGUUAUUCAGUAUUGAGGGGGUCAGUAUUCGUAUGAGAACACAUAUGAAACUUUGC